rnacentral:rRNA from 1 species
GAGUUUGAUCCUGGCUCAGGACGAACGCUGGCGGCGUGCCUAAUACAUGCAAGUCGAACGAACGGAUUGAGGAGCUUGCUCUUCAAGAAGUUAGUGGCGGACGGGUGAGUAACACGUGGGUAACCUGCCCUUCAGCGGGGGAUAACAUCCGGAAACGGGUGCUAAUACCGCAUAGUUUCUUUUUCCGCCUGGAAGAAGAAGGAAAGAUGGCCUUUGUGCUAUCACUGAGGGAUGGACCCGCGGCGUAUUAGUUAGUUGGUGGGGUAAUGGCCUACCAAGACGAUGAUACGUAGCCGACCUGAGAGGGUGAUCGGCCACAUUGGGACUGAGACACGGCCCAAACUCCUACGGGAGGCAGCAGUAGGGAAUCUUCCGCAAUGGACGAAAGUCUGACGGAGCAACGCCGCGUGAGUGAAGAAGGUUUUCGGAUCGUAAAACUCUGUUGUCGGAGAAGAACAAGUAGGAGAGUAUCUGUUCCUACCUUGACGGUACCCGACCAGAAAGCCACGGCUAACUACGUGCCAGCAGCCGCGGUAAUACGUAGGUGGCAAGCGUUGUCCGGAUUUAUUGGGCGUAAAGCGAGCGCAGGUGGUUUCUUAAGUCUGAUGUGAAAGCCCACGGCUCAACCGUGGAAGGUCAUUGGAAACUGGGGAACUUGAAUGCAGAAGAGGAGAGUGGAAUUCCAUGUGUAGCGGUGAAAUGCGUAGAUAUAUGGAGGAACACCAGUGGCGAAGGCGACUCUCUGGUCUGUUAUUGACACUGAGGCUCGAAAGCGUGGGGAGCAAACAGGAUUAGAUACCCUGGUAGUCCACGCCGUAAACGAUGAGUGCUAAGUGUUGGAGGGCUUCCACCCUUCAGUGCUGCAGUUAACGCAUUAAGCAC